UACAGAGGGUGCAAGCGUUAAUCGGAAUUACUGGGCGUAAAGCGUGCGUAGUCGGUUAUCUAAGUCGGGUGUGAAAUCCCCGGGCUCAACCUGGGAAUUGCAUUCGAUACUGGAUAGCUAGAGUUCGGCAGAGGGAAGCGGAAUUUCCGGUGUAGCGGUGAAAUGCGUAGAUAUCGGUGGGAACGCCAGUGGCGAAAGCGGCAGACUGGACCCUUCCUGACGCUGAGGCGCGAAAGCUAGGGGAGCAAACGGG
rnacentral:rRNA from 1 species